GAUGAAGAACGUAGCGAAAUGCGAUAAGUAAUGCGAAUUGCAGAAUUCAGUGAAUCAUCGAAUCUUUGAACGCACAUUGCGCCCGCCAGUAUUCUGGCGGGCAUGCCUGUCCGAGCGUCAUUUCAACCCUCGAACCCCUCCGGGGGGUCGGCGUUGGGGAUCGGCCCUUUCACCGGGUGCCGUCCCCCAAAUACAGUGGCGGUCUCGCCGCAGCCUCUCAUGCGCAGUAGUUUGCACACUCGCACCGGGAGCGCGGCGCGUCCACGUCCGUAAAACACCCCAAACUUCUGAAAUGUUGACCUCGGAUCAGGUAGGAAUACCCGCUGAACUUAAGCAUAUCAAUAAGCGGAGGA
rnacentral:misc_RNA from 1 species